UGUCCCAUGGCUUAGUUGGUUACGGCGUCCGACUGUUAUGCGUUGUGAAACAUCGACAUCGGAAGAUCGAGAGUUCGAGUCUCUCUGGGACAG
rnacentral:tRNA from 1 species